UCCAAACAGACAUCACCAUUCCGGUGUAGCCCAGCAUGGGUCAUUUCCAUGAAACAGCAGAAUUCAUUACGGAUGAGCACCAGAGAAAUCUGCGGCAGGCAGGAGAUAGAGAAUAAAUCCCAGAAUCUAAGCACAGCACCUUCCAUAGGCUCUGAAAUGAAGAUGAAAGGGAAUUGCAACUCACUGGCUGAUUUGCAAAGAGGUAGGACUCAGCACUGUGCUUUGACACUUUUCUGGACUUUUCAGACUGAAAGCAUAUUUUUGAAAAGGGCAGGAAGAGACAGCAAGCCAUAGCUGCUGGUGGAGGAGGUAAUUCUCUUCCACUUAUAGCCAACUCAGAGCACAGAUUGCAUGCGAUGCUAUUAAGAAGUGAUAAGGAAAGCGAAAAAUUAUUUAUGUAUAUAAUCUAAGUAGUCCUGUGGAUAAUUCUGUAUUCUUUAAACUUACAUAUUGAAGAGUCUCAAGGAGCUCUUUUCUGCUCCAAGGAUCCAAAAUUAGCUAGGCUCAUCAGGGCAAACCAAUAAAAAAGACAUGUAAAAAAAUUAAAAUUCUUCCUCUCCACUUCAAUAGGCUCUCAUCAUCCCACACUGUCCUCAUACUAAGACUUAUCCCCAGUUCUGGUUCCCUUGAACUAGAGUAGAUACUUUUGUGAUUGUUUUGGUACAUAACAGGGCUCUGGGCUGCAGUGAUGUUAGCGGUGGUGAGCAUGUGGCUGGGACAGUGGCUUUCUUCUUAGGCAGCAAGCGAGUGCCUGGGGAUAUUUAAAAAUGUCUGUGUGGCCUGGAAAGGGAGCCGUUUGCCAAGCAGCUCUGGAAUGGACUUAUCAGAAAGGAACAUCCCAGGCAGUUAACAUAGCCAUUUCUCUUCAGAAUGUGCCACUUGAAUGCAAUAAAAGGGAGCCCCAGCUUUACCAACAAGGUGAAGGGAUUGCCCAGGUGUUAGCAGUGCUUGCUGCCCACGCCAAGCUCUGUCUCAAAGCCCCUGCAGGCAUUUCACAAUUCUCUCUCCCAGCCAUCCUGCCCAAUACCAGCAUCAAUUUGCUAGCCCCAAUUUGUGCUUUGGAAAGCUAAUGCUCAGAGCUUGUUUUGAGAUGCUUGGAUUGAAAAGACUUCCUGGGAAGAAGAAAGGCAGUCUUGGAAGAAUUUAGUACCUUGGGAACAGGCAGCAAAACAGUCAUCUGCCACUUAUUCACUGUAUGGCCCGCCACAAAUGCUGUUGCACGAAAUUUCACCAAAUGUGAAAGGAGCAGAAUAUGUGAUUCAUCUCUAAUACAUGUAAAGAAAUGCAUUGUAGACAUCUACUGCUGAGCCCCCUCCGUAGAGGGAGAAAAGCAGGCAGUUUAAAACAUGAUUCAUCCCUUGUUACUUAGCUGGCUACUUUAGGACGAGAGGAAUUACCCUCUGGAAAUGGCUGCUGAUUGCAGAGGGAAUUCAGGGUGACAAUCACAGAUGGCUACGUCUGGCUGAUGAGUCCCUCCUAAACUGCCUCGUUAUGUGUGUACACAGAGCCCAGCGCAACGGGGCCCCAGCCAGAGCGAAGUGCUGCUCCUAUAUCCACAGUAAUAAAGAGGAGCUACUGCUGGGUGCAAGCUGUGUGUUUGGCCUCUCCGUGUGGCAGGCUGGUACCUCGAUGCCACGGCUGUUCCUGCUUGCCUUCCCCCUCGUUUACCGCUAGAGCAGCCCUCA